AUUGAACGCUGGCGGCAGGCCUAACACAUGCAAGUCGAGCGAGCGGCGGACUGGUGUGUAAUGUCUGGAAACCUGACUGAUGGAGGGGGAUAACUACUGGAAACGGUAGCUAAUACCGCAUACGAUCAGUUGUGCCCAGAUGGGAUUAGCUAGUAGGUGGGGUAAUGGUUCACCUAGGCGACGAUCCCUAGCAGGUCUGAGAGGAUGACCAGCCACACUGGAACGGAGACACGGUCCAGACUCCUACGGGAGGCAGCAGUGGGGAAUCUUGCACAAUGUGCUCAAGCCUGAUGCAGCAAUGCCGCGUGUGUGAAGAAGGCCUUCGGGUUGUAAAGCACUUUCAGCGAGGAGGCGUUACUUGCAGAAGAAGCACCGGCUAACUCCGUGCCAGCCGCCGCGGUAAUUC
rnacentral:rRNA from 1 species